AGGAAAAGAAACUAACAAGGAUUCCCCUAGUAGCGGCGAGCGAAGCGGGAAGAGCUCAAAUUUAUAAUCUGGCACCUUCGGUGUCCGAGUUGUAAUCUCUAGAAAUGUUUUCCGCGUUGGACCGCACACAAGUCUGUUGGAAUACAGCGGCAUAGUGGUGAGACCCCCGUAUAUGGUGCGGACGCCCAGCGCUUUGUGAUACAUUUUCGAAGAGUCGAGUUGUUUGGGAAUGCAGCUCAAAUUGGGUGGUAAAUUCCAUCUAAAGCUAAAUAUUGGCGAGAGACCGAUAGCGAACAAGUACCGUGAGGGAAAGAUGAAAAGCACUUUGGAAAGAGAGUUAACAGUACGUGAAAUUGUUGGAAGGGAAACGCUUGAAGUCAGACUUGCUUGCCGAGCAAUCGGUUUGCAGGCCAGCAUCAGUUUUCCGGGAUGGAUAAUGGUAGAGAGAAGGUAGCAGUUUCGGCUGUGUUAUAGCUCUCUGCUGGAUACAUCUUGGGGGACUGAGGAACGCAGUGUGCCUUUGGCGGGGGUUUCGACCUCUUCACACUUAGGAUGCUGGUGGAAUGGCUUUAAACGACCCGUCUUG
rnacentral:rRNA from 1 species